AGGCGGCCCCGGCCGCGGAGCUCCGCCGAGCAGCUCAGCUCCACCUGCGCCGCCGCUGCCGCCCCGGAACCGGGCGGGGAGGAGGGGCCCGGCCCGGGCUCGUUGGCUGCGGGCGGCACCGCCCCGCGGCACAGACCCAAUAGCGCCGCUGCCGCCGCCGGGCCGGACGGGAGCGGAACCGGAGCCGGAGCCAACCGAACGGGAACUGAACGAGAACUGAACGAAACCGAACGGAGCCCAACGUGAACCGAACCGGAACCGAGCGUGGAUCGAACGGAGCGGACUGGACUCGCGGCCGCCGGCAUGGCCUCGCCCGAGGAGGUGUUGGUGCUGGUCCUGGUGAGGGAUUUAACAUCAACAUAGCCUGGACUGGAGGCCUCGACCCCCCCAUGGGUGACCCUGAGUAUCUGGCUGCUUUCAGGCUGAAAACAAAUCCCGGGAGGCAAAGAGAGCAGAAAGGCCAUCGAGGGGCAUCACGCGGCAUCUCCACGCCCAAAGGGGAUCCCUGGAUCCUGGAUUUCUCUCCCACCCUGCUGCCUUCCCAAGCUCCUCUUUCACCAUCCCCCCCGGGCUCGGCUCGCUUAGCCCCGAGACUGCUCGGGAAGCUUUCUCCUCCCUCAGCCUUGCUCCCAGCUGGGGCCUGGUUGCGGCAGAUUCCUUCUGCCCCCGGCUCAGGAUGCGUCCCACCUUUGCCAGGUCUCGCCGCAGCGCUCGGGAGGGCAGCCCCCAGAUGCAGGUUGCCAAAGCCACCGCCGGGCACGGCUGGCCGAAGGGGACAGCACCCGGCGGGGAGAGGGGCAGCGAACAUCUUCCUCGGGCAACAAUCCGGGUGGGUCUGGAGAGCUCGGAUGCCCACAGCAUCUCCUCCUUGUGCCAGCCCAUGCUCUCCGCAGCCCGAGAAGAGCGCCCCGGGCUGCGGGCACCACCCCGAGCAGCCAGCGCCGAAGGCUCCGGUCCGCCGCCGGCGGUGCGCGGAGAGCCCCGAGCCGACAGCUCACUCACCCUGGCUCUGUCCUUGCAUCCA